UAUUAUACUAAGAGAUAAUUAUAUAAUCAAAAUAUUAAUAGAUAUGAACUUUAAAUUUGAAGAAUUUGGCGGUAAUUUAGUCUUGUCAGAGGAACCUGUUUUUUAAUCGAUAAACCACGUAGAAUUUUACUUACUUUUGUUGUCACAGUUUGUAUACCGUCAUUAUCAGAUAAUUUUAAGAGAAUUGAAUUGUCGAAAAUAAUUAAAUGUUAAUAAAAUUAGAUCAAGGUGCAGCUUAUAAGUAAGUUAAAAUGGGUUACAAUAAAUUAUAUUUAUGACGGAUAAUCUAAGAAAAAAGAAUAAAGAUUAGAAGGAGGAUUUGAUUGUAAUAUAAGUUUAAUAUGUUUAGGAGAUAAAAGCUCUAAAUUAU
rnacentral:rRNA from 1 species